GAUGAAGAACGCAGCGAAAUGCGAUAAGUAGUGUGAAUUGCAGAAUUCAGUGAAUCAUCGAAUCUUUGAACGCACAUUGCGCCCCUUGGUAUUCCAUGGGGCAUGCCUGUUCGAGCGUCAUUUGUACCCUCAAGCUAUGCAUGGUGUUGGGUGUUUGUCCUCUCCUUUUGCGAUUGGACUCGCCUUAAAGACAUUGGCAGCCAGUGUAUUGGUCUUGAAGCGCAGCACGUUUUGCGAUUCUUGCUGAUAAUCACUAGCGUCCAGUAAGCCUAUUUUAACACUUUUGACCUCGGAUCAGGUAGGGAUACCCGCUGAACUUAAGCAUAUCAAUAAGCGGAGGA
rnacentral:misc_RNA from 1 species